CGGGAGGAAGACAACAGGGAUUGCCCCAGUAACGGCGAGUGAAGCGGCAACAGCUCAAAUUUGAAAUCUGGCUCCUAGAGUCCGAGUUGUAAUUUGUAGAGGAUGCUUUUGAUGCGGUGCCUUCCGAGUUCCCUGGAACGGGACGCCAUAGAGGGUGAGAGCCCCGUCUGGUCGGAUGCCAAAUCUCUGUAAAGCUCCUUCGACGAGUCGAGUAGUUUGGGAAUGCUGCUCUAAAUGGGAGGUAUAUGUCUUCUAAAGCUAAAUAUUGGCCAGAGACCGAUAGCGCACAAGUAGAGUGAUCGAAAGAUGAAAAGCACUUUGAAAAGAGGGUUAAAUAGUACGUGAAAUUGUUGAAAGGGAAGCGCCUAUGACCAGACUUGGGCCCGGUGAAUCAUCCAGCGUUCUCGCUGGUGCACUUUGCCGGGCACAGGCCAGCAUCAGUUUGUCUUGGGGGAAAAAGGCUUUGGGAACGUGGCUCCCUCGGGAGUGUUAUAGACCAUUGCAUAAUACCCUGGGACGGACUGAGGUUCGCGCAUCUGCAAGGAUGCUGGCGUAAUGGUCAUCAGCGACCCGUCUUGAAACACGGACCAAGGAGUCGUCUUCGUAUGCGAGUGUUCGGGUGUAAAACCCCUACGCGUAAUGAAAGUGAACGCAGGUGAGAGCUUCGGCGCAUCAUCGACCGAUCCUGAUGUUCUCGGAUGGAUUUGAGUAAGAGCAUACGGGGCCGGACCCGAAAGAAGGUGAACUAUUCCUGUAUAGGGUGAAGCCAGAGGAAACUCUGGUGGAGGCUCGCAGCGGUUCUGACGUGCGAAUCGAUCGUCAAAUAUGGGAAUGGGGGCGAAAGACUAAUCGAACCUUCUAGUAGCUGGUUUCCGCCGAGCCCCUCUCCGAGAGAGAGG
rnacentral:rRNA from 1 species